GGCUGCAGAGAGCAAAAUGGGCCAUCUAGCAAAUGCAGUGGGUCCCCUCCAUACUCAGACACCCCAGCUGGUCUGAAUUAGAGGUGUCCAGGUGGCACAUGCUGUAAUAUUUGCUUUCCACCUGGGAUCUUCUCUUAUCAGACUGUGAUUGAAAGCCAAGUCCAUUUGCUGUAAGCAGCCAGGAUGUUCCUAGGGAAUCGGUGCUGCUCACAGCCAGGUGAGUCUGACCUACACAGACUCCCAGGAUCCAUGGGGGCAUUUAUUUCCUGUUUGUCCACCUUGGGUGAAAAAAAAGUAGGUCUGUGCAAGCCAGGGUGUAACAGUUUGCCAAGGGUCUGUCCACGUGCAAGAAUACCUGACCCCUGCAAGGCGAGGUCAGGUCUGGAAGCUGGUGAUGGGUGGGGUCACACUGCACGGAGUGUGACCUCAUCUCCAGACAGAGGAGCAGAACUGACCCGUGCCAAGAUGGGCAGCAGAGGCACAGUACUUUCUUGCUCUGCACUCCUCACAGGCACGAUCUCAGUGUGAUCAGUUACUCCUUAGCAGAAACCUGAAUGUCAACAAACAGAUAAAAAAAAUCCCAGCAGCAUGCAGGUUUCCUAUCUAUGCAUAAGUCAGAAGAAACCUCCAUCCUUAAGGCUCAGGGGGAACCUCAUCACUGUGUACAAAGCUACCUACGGAGAGGGUAUAAAGAGGACGGAGCCAGGCUCUUCUCAGGGUGCGCAGUGCCAGGACAGGAGGCAACGGGGAUAAACUGGAACACAGGAGGUUCCCUCUGACCAUCAGGAAAUGCUUCUGUGUUGUGCAGGUGACAGAGCAUUGGCACAGAGAUCAGAGAGCCCCGGGAAGCAGCAGGCUCAGCGUGUGGGCAGAGCUAUCACAUCCAGGAAGCUUCACCAGCCGCCUCCGUGCCCGGGGAACUCUGCAGCCCCUCCAGCACUGACGUGGCCGUGGCCAAGGACAUGCAGGCAGACUGCGCAUCCCACGCCGAGCUGUUCCUGCUGCCCAAACUUCCUCAGAUCUAGGUCACUGCCUCUCCCCCUGCCAUCGUCAGAAGUGGAGAAUAACUCACUGCCUUCAUUUGUGUCAUUACGUUGGAGGUAUUUAUAGUGCGUGAUCAGUGCCCUUAAAGAAUUCUCUCUCCUGAACUCCACAGACUGCACUGCCUCAGUGUCUUCUCCCUGCCUGUGCCGAUGGCUGCACUGUGUUUGCUGACCUCUUGUAUUUUGUUUGGUGAUUUCCAUCCACAGACUUCAGGGCAAGAGCUCUCUCCAUUUCACCCCAGAUGCUCCGCUGGUCUCCAUGUCUUUGUAGGCAGUCUGAUCCUCAGGUACAGGGACAUGGCAGGGAUUGUGACUGCAGGUUCAGCUCUCUGCUUGCUGGAUAUUAAAUCGUUCUGUUUCCUGGCACAUCCCACACAGAUGAGAGGCUUAUCCAGAACAGGGGGACAUGUUUCUUUGCAGAGCAAGAACAGCUGAAGCACGUGGUGAGGUGACAGCGCAGACAUCCAAAGUCUGGAUAGGCCACCACAACUCCAGCUGUGUUCCUCCAGAUUUUGGGGACAGGAUGGAUCUAAGCGGCUGCCUGGAUUAGCACGAGGGUGGAUUUCUCCCCGCGGUUUCUGAUUUGGGCCGUGUUACUGUGCAUGGACGCCCUGAGCUUCCAGUGGGAACCACUCAUCCCUUGUGCCCAUGGUGGAACCCACUCGGAACCAAGGCAGGAGGAUAUGUGCUACCCCAUCCACCCAGGGCUGCCACCAGCCUUGUUCCUGAGGAACCACACAGUACCUCUGAGCCAUUCCCCUGGCUAAAAAAAUGCCACUGCAGUGCAAAGUGCCUCUUUCAAAGAAGACUGUGCCCGGUGCUGCCUCCGCUGCCCGGAGUUAAGCAUG